UCAAUGAUAACAUCAUAAAAUUCCUUCUUUACAAUUUUCAAAAUUUCUUUCAAUGUCAAUUCCACCUUAGCAUUUAAUAUACGUUCUUCCAACAUCCCUUUUAAAUUUGUUGCCACUUCAAUAUCAGAAAGUAGCUUAUAAGCAAUUGAUUUAUCCUUAUCUUUUGUCUUCUUUGUUUUCUCUUCCAAUGAUGCUGAAGUACCCUUUAUAGGCAAUUCUUGUGAAGCCGCCUCACGAGCCUUGUCUCCUCGAGUUUGCCUCUUUGAAGAAUUUUCUUCUCUUGUAUCAUCAAAAUUUUCUCAUCUCUUUUCUUCCAUCAAAGCUUCAUAUUGGCUCUUAGCAAUAUAUGCAUGAACUGAAAGAGACUCAAUAGGAUCUUUCCAACCUAUUGCACUUCAUAUUGUAGCUGCAGUCCUGAAUAACGCU
rnacentral:lncRNA from 1 species